AUGAGAGUCAAAGCGGCCUUGUUUAAUAAGACAAAGUUUAUAGUCGGUAAUGGCACCACCACUCGCUUCUGUGAGGAUACUUGGCUUGGUGAAACGUCGCUGGCGCUUCAGUAUCCGUCCCUGUAUAGUAUUGUUCGACGACGUGAUGCUUUUGUUGCAACGAUUUUGCAGUGCAUUCCCCUUAAUAUUCAGUUUAGGAGGACGCUUGUUGGCAACCAGUGGGAAGCGUGGCUCCAUUUGGUGAGUAGACUGAUGGAGGUUCAGCUAUCUCAUCAGUCCGAUCAGUUGUGCUGGAAACUUACUAGGUCUGGAGAGUUCACAGUUAAAUCGAUGUAUAUCGAUGUCAUUAACUCUAGUGUCAUUCCUAGUUCCAAAUAUGUUUGGAAAGUCAAAGUUCCUUUGAAAAUUAAAGUGUUUAUGUGGUUUGUACAUAAACAAGUCAUUCUAACAAAGGAUAACUUGGUAAAGCGCAACUGGACAAGAUCUACUAGGUGUACUUUCUGUGAUCGGGAUGAAACUAUCAAGCACUUAUUCUUUGAUUGCCCGUUGGACAAAGUGUUGUGGCACACGGUGCACAUUGCCUUUAACAUCUCUCCUCCGAAUUCUGUCAGUACAUUAUUUGGAACGUGGCUUGUUGGGAUAGAGUCCGAAACAGCUAGACACAUUCGCGUAGGAGUAUGUGCAUUGUCGUGGGCAAUUUGGAACUGCAAAAAUGAUUUGGCUUUUAAUAGAACAACAAAUAUUCAUUUUUUGCAGGUUAUUUUCCGAGCCACUGCGCUGAUCCGUAUGUGGUCGUUACUGACUCCGACGGAGGCCAGGGAGCAUUUGGUUACUGGAUCUAUCCGCUGGGAGAUGGUAGCUCGGGAUAUCUUCAACCGAUUUGACUGGCGGUCAUGUAAUAGGAUAGGCGAUUAG
rnacentral:rRNA from 1 species